ensembl:snRNA U6 U6 spliceosomal RNA
GUGCUCAAUGUGGCAGCACAUAUACUGAAAUUGGAACAAUACUGAGAAGAUGAGCAGGGCCCUGUGCAAAGAUGACACGAAUCCAUGAAGCAUUCCAUAUUUUU